UACGUAGGGUGCGAGCGUUAAUCGGAAUUACUGGGCGUAAAGCGUGCGCAGGCGGCGGCUCAAGUCAGGUGUGAAAUCCCCGGGCUUAACCUGGGAAUUGCGCUUGAAACUAGGCUGCUUGAGUGUGGCAGAGGGGGGUGGAAUUCCACGUGUAGCAGUGAAAUGCGUAGAUAUCGGGAGGAACACCAGUGGCGAAGGCGGCUACCUGGCCCAUUCUUGACGCUGAGGCGCGAAAGCUAGGGGAGCAAACGGG
rnacentral:rRNA from 1 species